rnacentral:rRNA from 1 species
UGGGGAAUAUUGGACAAUGGUCGCAAGCCUGCUCCAGCCAUGCCGCGUGAGUGUUGAAGGCCCUAGGGUUGUAAAGCUCUUUCACCGGUGAAGAUAAUGACGGUAACCGGACAAGCAGCCCCGGCUAACUUCGUGCCAGCAGCCGCGGUAAUACGCAAGGGGCUAGCGUUGUUCGGAUUUACUGCGCGUAAAGCGCACGUAGGCGGACUAUUAAGUCAGGUUUGAAAUCCCGGGGGUCAACCCCGGAACUGCCUUUGAUAAUGGUAGUCUUGAGUGCGAGAGAGGUGAGUAGAAUUCGGGUUGAAGAGGUGAAAUUCGUAGAUAUACGGAGGAAUAACAGUAGCGAAGGCGGCUCACUGGCUCGAUACUGACGCUGAGGUGCGAAAGCGGGGGGAGCAAACAGG